rnacentral:rRNA from 1 species
UACGUAGGGGGCUAGCGUUGUCCGGAAUCAUUGGGCGUAAAGCGCGCGUAGGCGGCCAGAUAAGUCCGGUGUGAAAGUCACAGGCUCAACCUGUGAAUGCCGCUGGAAACUGUCUGGCUAGAGUCCGGAAGGGGCGAGUGGAAUUCCUGGUGUAGCGGUGAAAUGCGCAGAUAUCAGGAGGAACACCGGUGGCGAAGGCGGGUCUCUGGGACGGUACUGACGCUGAGACGCGAAAGCGUGGGGAGCGAACAGG